CAAAAGCUUGGUCCUGACUUUAAUAUCAAUUAUGGCCUAAAUUACACAUGCAAGUACCCGCACCCCUGUGAGAAUGCCCUCUUUCCUCUAAUGAAGAAGAGGAGCCGGUAUCAGGCACACCAAUCCGGUAGCCCAAAACGCCUUGCUUAGCCACACCCCCAAGGGAAUUCAGCAGUGAUUAAUAUUAUAAUAUGAGCGAAAGCUCGACCUAAUUAAGACCAAACAGAGCCGGUAAAAUUCGUGCCAGCCACCGCGGUUAUACGAUAUGACUCAAACUGAUAUCUCUCGGCGUAAAGCGUGAUUAGAGAAAAAAGACAACUAAAGAAGAACAGCUUUCAUGCCGUAUCAAGCUUACAAAGACCUGAAAAACAAUAACGAAAGUAACUUUAAACAUUACUUGAAUUCACGACCGUAAAGAAACAAACUGGGAUUUGAUACCCCACUAUGCUUAACUGUAAACAAAGAUGAUAAUACACAAACAUCAUCCGCCAGGGGAUUACGAGCAAAGCUUAAAACCCAAAGGACUUGGCGGUGCCUCAAACCCACCUAGAGGAGCCUGUUCUAUAACCGAUAACCCCCGUUUAACCUCACCACUUCUAGUUUUACCAACCUAUAUACCGCCGUCCCCAGCUUGCCUUGUGAAAGACAGAUAGCAAGCCAAAUGGGUUUUACCCAGAAAGUCAGGUCGAGGUGUAGUUAAUGAAGUGGGAAGAGAUGGGCUACAUUUUCUAACCCAGAAUAUUACGAAAAGUAUUAUGAAAGAAAACACAACUGAAGGUGGAUUUAGCAGUAAAAAGAUAAUAGAGAGUUCUUUUGAAGUUGGCUCUGAGGCGCGUACACACCGCCCGUCACUCUCCUCAAGGUAAGUAAAUGAAUUACUUUUAUAAACACUUAAUUUGGCCUACAGAGGGGGCAAGUCGUAACAUGGUAAGUGUACCGGAAGGUGCACUUGGAUAAA
rnacentral:ncRNA from 1 species